CACGUAGGGUGCGAGCGUUGUCCGGAAUUAUUGGGCGUAAAGAGCUCGUAGGCGGUGUGUCACGUCGGCCGUGAAAACCUACAGCUUAACUGUGGGCGUGCGGUCGAUACGGGCAUCACUGGAGUUCGGCAGGGGAGACUGGAAUUCCUGGUGUAGCGGUGAAAUGCGCAGAUAUCAGGAGGAACACCGGUGGCGAAGGCGGGUCUCUGGGCCGAUACUGACGCUGAGGAGCGAAAGCGUGGGGAGCGAACAGG
rnacentral:rRNA from 1 species